UUCCUCAACUGGUUCAGUGUCCUCGACCAUUUCCUCCACCGGUUGUGUCUCAUGUUCUAGUUCCUUAACAGCCUGAAUCUCACUGUCACCAUGCUUCUCUUCCACCAGUUGUGCCUCCUGAGCCACUUCCUCAACUGGUUCAGUGUUCUCGACCAUUUCCUCCACCGGCUGUGUCUCAUGUCCUAGUUCCUCAACAGGCUGAAUGUCACUGUCACCAUGCUUCUCUUCCACCAGUUGUGCCUCCUGAACCACUUGCUCAACAGGUUCAGUGUUCUGGACCAUUUCCUCCUCCGGUUGUCUCUCAUGUUCUACUUCCUCAACAAGAAUGUCA
rnacentral:lncRNA from 1 species